UGCUCUUUCUGCACAUCAAAACGGCCGUGAUAAACAAAAAGCUCGUUUCACAGGAAAUAUCUUUAGGAUUCAUGCAAUCGUAGGAGUGCUCGAUACAAAUAUAUGUAGAGCGAUUAUGGAAUCAAAGUUCGCAAGUCAGGUUCAUAAAUAAUUUUUGAACUGAAGUGAUUAGGGAAUCGAUAAUCAUCAGCUAGAAUGAUUAUUUAUUCAUCUACUUAUUUGUUACAUUCGUAACUUUACUCCAAAUUACCUUCAAAAAUUAGUGAUUAAAAUACAGAAACAGGAGAUAGAGGUGACUAAAAGCAUCGCGCGCUAUACUAUUUUGAUCUUCUGUGCUAGUUUCUAAUUCCAGCCACGAAAAGACAACUAAAAUUGCGCUUAAAACCUAUUUAUAUUUUUAAAAGCGAACAACAUCUACUAUUGACGCUUCUGUUUUUCCUCGAGAUACUUUUCUCAGGAUUCUCGAGGUGGGGGUGGGGGGAGGGGGGAAUAGAGAGAACCUGCCAUCCAUCCCUACGUACUAAUUUUGCCAUGAACACCCGCUGUGCAAUCAACCUUGUUCCCAGGGUCUUUCCCUCGACGAUUUUCAAAAUGGCGGACUUUCCCGCCAUUUUGAAAAGUGUAAGGGUUGGACUUGCUGUAGACGAGAUCUGUCAAUGUAAUUUCAAGGAAAAUCGCUUUAUUUUUUUAAUACUUGGCGAAGGCCGUCUGAAAAUUUAAAGAGAACCCUGCAAAGCCUGCAAAGUCAAGGAAGCCAUCCAAGAUCAAAGCUCAAUACCAUGCCAGUUAUUGGUUUCAUUUAUUUCUUUUUGCAAAAUGCACAAUGAAAAUUUAAACGUUGUGUUUUGCACUAAGAAAUAGCUUGAUAUUGAUAAAGAACAUGGUAGUGUUUUCACCCUUGAUGUAGUGGCAUUUUGAACAGGAAAAGAAAUCAAGUGAGUAUGUAUUUGGAACCACAAUGAUUCAUGACGCAAGUUUCAGGUUAUUUUGAAACAAAGGAAAAUACCAAAUUAUACCAAGAGUAAUAUUUGUCUUUACUUUUAAGGCUAAGAAUACAAUUAUUUUGUACAGCUAUUUGUUAAACUUAGACCAAGAGUAAACAGCUGAUGCUAAACAUGCUUUUUUGUGCAUCACAGAGUGUAAGGUAUGCAUGAAAAGGUAAAUGUAGCUUUCAUAAUUUUGAAGAAGGGAACAAGUGCAAAACCUUGAAGAAACUGCUUGUUAUUGGGUGCUCACUAUACAUCAAGGAUAAAAUUAAUGUGCCAAUAUCUGUGUAGCAUGUAACAUGCAUACACUUUGUGAAUCCACCAUCUGCGUAAGAUAAGUGUGCAAAGGACAGCAUGCAUUAUCAUCAAAUUUGAACUUUGUGUCCUUUUUGUUGAUAAAUAUUAAGUAGAUAUAACUCUGAACAGUUUUUUAUGUAAUUUAAACAAUAUUGUUCCUUGCUGUUUGUUUUAAGAGCAUUGAACAUGUACUCAACAAGAGAGCUUGAACAGUUCUGCUGUGAUUUUUUACUUAUAAACAGGUGAAAAUGGGAUAAUAAUAAUAAUAAUAAUAAUAAUAAUAACGAUAAUGAUAAUAAUGACUAUUUUAAGAGGAUGGCCCAUCAGUGUAUUAAACACUGUUAUCAAAGGCGUCCUGUGAAAGAAACUAUAGUGAAAAUAAGGAAAAAGGUGAAAGAAGGUAAAAAAAGGUAAAAAAGGCAUACAAAAUUAAUAACUAAGCAGCACCAAACAGUUUUGUGAUUAAGCAGGGUCCUAAAUUACCUUUUGUACUGGAUUGCCCAUUGGACUACAAGUUUUUCAGGUCUAGGUGUCGAAAGUGAAAUCUAGUCAUCAAAUUAUUAAUAAAAGUACAUGCAUAGGUACAUACAUACAUCCCCACAUUCAUACAUAUAAUUUAUUUCCUCUCAAAUUUUAAGUAGCUAAAAUUAACUAAUAUCUGCGAGAAUAUAACUAUAACAAAAUACAAUACUUACUCAACAAAUAUGCUAAAAAUAAUGAAAGAGCUGAACUAUGUAUAUAAAGUAUAAAACUAGAGACAAGUUGCCAUGCUACUGAAAAGACUCAUUGUGAUAUCUUUCACUUAAAGUCCGCAAAAAUACAAGUUCUUAGUGAGUAAUAUGCCAGAACUUGGCAUCCCAACUGUCUUUCUUUGUGAUGGCUUGUUUAUCACUGCUGCAAUAGGUUAAUCCAAAUUCAAUACUCAUGGAUAACAUAAGGUUACAAAAUUGACAGAACGCAGAGAAAGGCCUCUUAGCUUGUACAAUAUAUGUUAUCUUGAAGAGCUUUGAAGUUUUCUCAAUGCCUAAUCCUCUUCCAUGUGAAGGAUACAAGAUUCCAGUGGUUGUUCAGGACUCUUGUUUUUGAGUCCAAACAAGAUUUUGCUGGGCAGCUGACUUGUGUGCUGCACUUUUUUCAUGCUUAAGUUUUUUUUUCAAGUUGAGCUGUUGUACAGCCCUUGUUUGAAGCCAAAGCACUGUGCUCUUCUUGGUCUCCUGCAGUAUUAUAAUCUAUGCAAUAUGAGGUAGUCAAGCGAGACUUUGUGUCUUAGGUGAAUUGGAAAGGCUUAACUAGCUGAAAGAAAAUGAAUUCUUUGAUAGUGUUAUUAUCAUAUCUGCUUGAGGAGUGAGAGGGCCAUCAGGUAUUUUGAAUUUCUUUUCCAGCUGCAACCAAUGUUGACUACACUACUUUUCUGUUAAGCUUCUGUCUGACCUCGUUCUAUAGAAAAGUAUUUCAACGUUUAACACCAUUUAAAUCUGCUUGAUAUUUAUCCUUUAAAAGACAUUUGUUUUGUCAACUUUUGCUAUAGAUUCUGACCAUUUAUGAGUUUUAAUGGCUGGCUUAUAUAUUAAAUUAUGAUGGCAACCUUUACUUUGCAAUGCAUACAAUCAUGCAAUACCUUGUGAUCUUUGGAAAGUACAGAAAGUUUUAUGUUUUGCCUGCAUUCACUCUAAAUGUGUGCAGGCCCUGUGUACAUUGCAAGGUGCAAAAGAGAUCAUGGUACCACUGAGAGUGCCACCAGUAAAAUGUAGCACUAAAACAUGUAAACAAAGUUGAUCCAUUCAAAAUUUGUUCAUAACAGCUACCAAAAGUUUCGACCUUGUCAACUUAAACAGAGCAAAUGUUGUUAAAACCCCUGGGUUGAAACCUUAGCUAAGCUGAUCAGAAGAGAGCAGAUCAACAAAGUUAAUGUAACUGGUUUAUGACAGAGUGACAGAGAUAUUUCCUUAUGAGAGCAAUUCAGAAGGUAUUGUUAAUGAGUAUCAACCCCACCGUCAAUAUACUGCCCAUAGGGAAAAAUCUAUUUACCUAAUAGGUAAUUUGUUUAGGUCCAAAUCCAAGUCAAAGGGAGCUUUUGUUAUAUAUUGAAACAAACUGCCUUAAUAUUAAUAUAGUGUACAUGUAUAUUUAUAUAAACACAAGAUAUUCCAAAAUAUACAGUCAUGUGAAAUAAUGUCAAAGAUAGAGAAAGUGCAAUUUAAGAUGCUUGCAAAUGUUACUAUUAAAAUAAAAACAAUUACAUCCAGGGGCAAAUGCUGAGAUGCAAACAAACAGUUGACAAUUUAGACUGUGAUGGUUUUCAUUUAGAUUAAAAUUAAUUAAAGUGCAAGCUGGUUUUUCUCUAUAUUUAAAGGAAAUGCCAGAUGGUGAGAUAUGACAUCAAAGUGUAUUGGCCAUGACCUGUGGUGUUAAAAGGAGAGAAUUUUGACUAUUGUACAAUAUGUACAAUAAAAUAGAAAAUACUGCUGUAAACCACUGGCAAAGAUUAUGUAAGACACCUAAAAUGAUGGGAAGUGGAAACCGUAGAAGAGUGGAAAGGUGUUUUCGCGAGGGACAGCCAAACAUUGUUCAACCAAGGGCAAAAAAAAAAAACUGAAUGGUGGAAAAAAGAACUUGAUGUGAUAGUGUUGCAAUCAUGUGCACUGUAAGGUCAUCCUUUUCAACAACCCCCUUUUUUGAGUUUUUCCGGUAAACUUGAAUAUUGAUUCGAACAAUGUUUUAGUUUAUUUUAUCUUAAUCUGGCUGGCAUGGAACUUCACCAUGGAACUUUUCUUUGGAGACGGGCUUCUUUGUUCUUCUUCUGAUAAUGUCGCAUGCUAUGCUCAUAAGUUCUUGGUGUGGCAGCCAUUGUGCAACACCAAGAAACAUGUGAUACAAAGAUUUUCCUGGUAUGGUUUCUCUGUUUUAGGGUUAUGAUCUAGCCAUUGAUUUCAUAGUUGUCAUGAUACCGUCAUUUUUCAUUCAGUAGAUCAUAUUUGUUGUGCUUCUUACCAAAAAAAAUCCAUCUUGCAGCAGUUACAAAGGGAAAACUAACCAUUGAUUUAUCUGUUUUUACUGUUGUAAUCAAUACAUGGUCACUUUCCAUGGCUGUCAUCAAGGGCCGUAACCUGUAACACCUAUUAUGGCUCAGUAUGUUUGAGUUUCUCUUGGUGCUAUGGGUGAAAUUGCUUUUUGUUGAAAGAAAUCACCUACAAUGUAACAAGUUUGCUACGGGUGUGAAGAACAAGGGUACCGGCAACUCAAAACUUAAUGACAUCCCUGCUUUCAUCUGGUGGUUGUGGAACAACUAUUAUUACUGCUUGAGUUUUCAAAUCAAUGUUUGAAAUCAUGGUAAUUGAACAUCCAUAACAAAACGGUGCAAAAAGGGGUGAUUUGACUGUUUAUUUUAAAUAAUAGUCAGUACUUGUAAAAAUGACAAGAAUGAUUUUGUUCCCAAGAAAAGAACUAUCAGCACUGGGUAUUUGUAAUCAGUCAUAACUGAGAAAGAAAACUGCUGAUUUGAACUGGUAUCGCUGUUGUAUUAAUAAAUAUAUUCAUAAGGCAGUAGCCAUCCAAAUGUUUUGAAGGACCUAGGCAAUAAUAAGGUACCUUGUCAAUAUUAUGGUUAAUGGGUAUUCUAAUGCUUCUGGUAUUAGUUAUGGCUGAAUGGCAAGAAAGAGGUCACAAUCGCCAAGCUGAAAAACUGGAAAGGUCAAAGUUUUUGUUUGCUCACUGUGAAGGGUGGGUUUAUUUGUUAUGUCAAUAGGUGUUGCUAGGACUGAUGAGAGUGGGCUAUGUGGAUGAUGGUAUAUUCUGGUUGACCCAUGACAGUAAUGCAAUCUCAAACAAAUAAUAUGAAAAAAAAUUAUGAUAAAAAUAUAACGAAAAUCAAAGGAGAUUGUGGUGCAAAAUGAGUUGUUGUGAUUGUGGUGCAAGUGGGUUUGUUAUGCAAAUAGGUGUUGCUUGAACUGAUGAGAGUGGGCUAUGUGGAUGAUGUUAUAUGCUGGUUGAUGAAUGACAGUAAUGCAAUCUCAAAGAAGAUAAACAAAUAAAAUGAAAAAAAAAAA
rnacentral:lncRNA from 1 species